AAGGAAAGAGGGCGGAAUGCCUAACACAUGCAAGUCGAACGAAGCCUUCUGUCUGAGUGGCGCACGGGUGCGUAACGUGAUGGAAUCUGCCCCUGUGUUCGGAAUAACAUGUAUAAAUGACUGCCUAUACCGGAUGAAGUCUUCGGACCAAAGAUGUGUCGUCAAGGGAUGAGCCCGCGUAGGAUUAUGUGGUUGUUUGGGUAAAGGUGUACUUAGCCGACGAUCCUUAGCUGUUCUGAGAGGAUGAUCAGCCACACUGGGACUGACACACGGCCCAGACACCUACGGGAGGCAGCAGUGGGGAAUAUUGGACAAUGGACGCAGAUCUGAUCCAGCAAUGCCGCGUGAGUGAUGAAGGCCUUAGGGUUAAAAAACUCUUUUACCAGGGAUGAUAAUGACAGUACCUGGAGAAUAAGCUCCGGCUAACUCCGUG
rnacentral:rRNA from 1 species